GAACUGUUUACCGUGGGCGCGGUGGGCGAAACGGUCACUUAAACUUCCGUCAGCCCUCAUAUCGCUCUUUUAAAAGUUUUCUAUAGACUGUCGUUACCAAACAAGUUUGAGACAUUGGGACCAGCAAAGUUUAUCGCUAGAUAGUGGACGUCUUUUAUACUUUUGGUGGUAUUUAGUAAACUUGGAAACACGGAACGAGGAAAAGGGAACAUUUAAUAUUUUCAUAUUUUGUACGCAGGACAAAGACAGCUAUACACUUCACUUAAGGAGCGAUGUUUGGGACGACGUCAGAUAAGGUGGUUUCUAUAGUAACUGUUUUUAUAUUAGUUUUAGUUGUUCUAACAGAAUCCAGGAAAAUAGACUGCACGAAGUUUGUGUUCGCUCCAAAAUGCCGUGGUGUAGCUGCUAAAAGAGACAAUCAAAUAAACUAUCCACAAAUUUCCAGUCACAGAUCCUCAAAAUCAGUGCCUAUUUUAGACGAUGAGUGGGACACAGAUGAAGAAGAUACCCUGGAUUUUUUGAAAGGUUUGAAAUUCCUGAUCACAAGAAUAAAUGAUAAAGAUGUGGAACAACCAACAUAUUCCUCGGAUGAUGAACGGUUUUGGGGAAAACUUUUUGGAUCUCCAGAUCAGCGGCGCUAAAAAUAAUACACGCGUUUUAGUGACGUCGUAGACACAUCUGCUGUUGCUGUGUAGUUAUAUUUGAUGAUGUAAUAUAUUGUAUGGCAAGGGAGACAAUUUGAAAAUUAAAAAUGGUGUAACAGCUUA